GACGUAGGGCGCGAGCGUUGUCCGGAUUUAUUGGGCGUAAAGAGCUCGUAGGCGGCUUGUUGCGUCGGCUGUGAAAACCCGUGGCUUAACUGCGGGCUUGCAGCUGAUACGGGCGGGCUAGAGUUCGGUAGGGGAGACUGGAAUUCCUGGUGUAGCGGUGAAAUGCGCAGAUAUCAGGAGGAACACCGGUGGCGAAGGCGGGUCUCUGGGCAGUAACUGACGCUGAGGAGCGAAAGCGUGGGGAGCGAACAGG
rnacentral:rRNA from 1 species